AUAUCCAUUAUGGAAAAUUCAACAUUAAUAUUAUAAUAUUUAUUUAUAAAUAUUAUAAAAAUAGUGUGCAAUUUUUCCAUAUAAGGACAUUGUAAUCUGUUAAUGUAAUAAAUAUUUAUCAUAAGAUUCAAUAAAUAAAAGUUUAUUCAAAUUAGUUAUUUUCCGAUYUCUAACAUAGAAUAAAUUUAAUUGAAUUUGAUAAAUCAUUGACAGAUUUAUUUAUAUAUAGUGCUUAAAUUCUUAAUUGAAUUUUACAAUAAUUUAUAAAUGUAUUUUCAUUUAUUUAUUUAUUGUAUGCACUUAUAUGAUUAACAAUGCUAUAGAUUCAGGAUACCUUCGGGACCCGUCUUGAAACACGGACCAAGGAGUCUAACAUAUGUGCAAGUCAUUGGGUAUUUUUAAUAAAACCCAAAGGCAUAAUUAACUUAACUGUUUUUAAUAUGGGAUUAAUUUAUAUUUUAUUAUGAAAUAUUAAUUCAAUCCCGGGGCGUUCUAUAUAGUUAUGUAUAAUAAUAUUUAUAUUAUUUAUGCCUCUAACUAGAGCGUACCUUGAGCAUAUAUGCUGUGACC
rnacentral:rRNA from 1 species